rnacentral:misc_RNA from 1 species
UACGUAGGGCGCAAGCGUUAUCCGGAAUUAUUGGGCGUAAAGAGCUCUUAUGCGGUUUGUCGCGUCUGCCGUGAAAGUCCGGGGCGCCACUCCGGAUCUGCGGGGGGUACGGGCAGGCUAGAGUGAUGUAGGGGAGACUGGAAUUCCUGGUGUAGCGGUGAAAUGCGCAGAUAUCAGGAGGAACACCGAUGGCGAAGGCAGGUCUCUGGGCAUUAACUGACGCUGAGGAGCGAAAGCAUGGGGAGCGAACAGG